CCCUCUAUAUAACGUAUCGAUAAGUGAUAGCAGGGUAAACAGGCAAUAAAACAAAGUGCUAGGCCUAGCGACCACUACUUUAUAGUCGACGGAGGAUAUCUGCAAUAAUUCCAGUCUACGGCUAUUCUGUCAGAAAUACAUUAUUCGUAUUAAGGUUGAAAAAUCAUUAACGCGGAGUCAUAAAGAAUAUAAUAUAUGCAUGGUUGCAUACCUGUGUUUCGUACAAAGAAGUCUCUCCUAGGUCAGCGAGGAAGUGUAGUCUGGUGGUAUAUUUGGGUCAUAACCUGCUGGAUCCGGAAUCCAAACCUUUGCCUUUGAUUCUAUUAUUAUGACAUCUUUUCUUCCCUGUAACCAACACAUGAUCCAUUUGUUUUCUCAAUAUCUGUACCAGUCUCAUCAAGUUCACCUAAUGUGCGUAUCUUACAGCUGCCUGAUACAUAGGUAUUUGAGCCAUCUCCAACCUAACGACAAGGAAAGUCAGAAAUGAACUUGAGAGAUGUAAAUUAGACAAAACUAACAAAGUACAGGAGAGGGAGAUUCUGGUUACCUCAACUUGACGGACGUUAAUCAGUUGUUCAGUAUUUCUAUCGAGUGACGAUGGAACGAAUAUAAUAAGGGUGACAACAUCGAUUGGACUUGGUGAAAUCUUUGAGACCUGGAACAGAAAACAAAUCAUAUAACAUAAUUCUAAAUAUAAGCAUGUCUUAAUGAAACACUCUUUUAAAAAAACUUACUUAAUUUAAAGGUUUGCUUAAGGAAGUAUAUAGACCACAAUAUGAUGUUUUUAGGGGUUGAAAGUGUAGCUAAUCUUCUUUCACUGCAGUAAAGAAACAGUAAUAUCUCAUUUAUUUUCUGUAAUUAUUUUUCCUUUUCGUAUUGGGACAGCGGUAAGUCUACGGACUUAUGGUGCUAAAAUACGGGGUUCGAUUCCCCGCAGUGGACACAGCAGAUAGCCCAAUGUGACUUUGCUAUAAAACAAACUCAUCAAUAUGCCCCACGGUGUGAUAGCAGUAAGUUUAUGGACUUACAAUACUAAAAUCCGGGGUUCUUUGAUUCCCCAUUGUGGAUACAGCAGAUAGUCCAAUAUGGCUUUGCUUUAAAAGCUAAUAAACAAAUCUUUUCAUAAUUAUACAGAAAAUGACAGUGGUCAUUGAACUUCAUGAAUGUUUCCAGUUCUUUCGUAACUUAAUUUCUAUACAUUCACUUUUCUUCACAGGAAAUAGUACUGUAUUCUUCUUCUUCUGUAGCUUUUUCCCGUAUCUAUAC
rnacentral:lncRNA from 1 species